GAUGAACGCUGGCGGCGUGCAUAACACAUUCAAGUCGAACGGAGUUAUUCCUUCGGGGAUAACUUAGUGGCGGACGGGUGAGUAACGCGUGAGCAACCUGCCCUUGUGUGGGGGACAACAGUUGGAAACGGCUGCUAAUACCGCAUAACACACACCAAUCGCAUGUUUGGUGUGUCAAAGAUUUAUUGCGCAAGGAUGGGCUCGCGUUGGAUUAGAUGGUUGGUGAGGUAACGGCUCACCAAGUCGACGAUCCAUAGCCGGACUGAGAGGUUGAACGGCCACAUUGGAACUGAGAAACGGUCCAG
rnacentral:rRNA from 1 species